UCAGUUAUUCCAAUUCCAUCAUCAUGAGGAACCAAACUGAUCAGGGGCAGUUUCAGCUUCCAAUUCAAUGGAGUUAUGGCUGGGUCCUCUAGUGGAAGCAUUUCUUCCUUUUGAACUAGGACUUCAAAGUAUGAUAAUCUCAAGGUUGUAGAAAUGGUGUGCUGGAUAUUUUCAUUUGUCCUAGGUCUUUGUGCCUAGGAACCCCUACAGACUGUAUGGACCUGGCUCCCCCAUCUUCUGGCUUUCUUGUGGAUCCAGCCAAUGGAAGAUCUCAGCAGAAUAUCAGAGCAUGGAAGGACAGAAGGAUGUAUCUUUCUUUUCUACCCUAUUCCCCACUUGGAGCUGAGGUGCUAGCAGUGGCUACAACUAUAGGAUCUUACCCUCCUGGUCCAAAGAAACAAAGCCUGCAAGUGGUGGUUGACAUUGUAUGUGAAGAACUGUGAGGUGGCUCAUUAAGCUCUAUGGAGGUUUUAGCUCUGUGAGGGAGCAUGGAUUGCUCAGGCUCCUCGAGGGUAACUGACAAACCUCACUGAGGACUUUACGUGAGAUUUCCAUUAUGCUUCUUCUGCCUCCCCUCAAAAUUUGAGUCGCUGGAUUUUGAAUUUGCCUCUUUAACCUGCCCCUCCCAGGUUGUCAGGAAAGAAAACACCAGGCCUCCUCGGUCAGGCAAGCGGGCCCUUUAAGGAAGACGAAAGCUGCUUUGAUAGGCUGGGGCUCGGAAUCCCUGCCACGGCCAGCCAAUCCCAAAGCUCUGAGGGGCGAAACCCGGUCCGUGCGGCGGUCUCGGACUCCGGCCUGUAGGCCUCUGCUUUGAUCAGUGUCCCCGCACUUCCACUGCCCAGUGUGGCCUCCUUUGGGAACCAAGGGAAAGCUCUUCUUCCUGCUUGGUUUCUACCUUUAACCCGUGGGAAUAUACCCUGAUACAUUGAAACUACAAUCCAGACCCAAGAGAGCAAGGCCAAGAAAAA